rnacentral:rRNA from 1 species
UACGUAGGGUGCAAGCGUUAAUCGGAAUUACUGGGCGUAAAGCGUGCGCAGGCGGUGAUGUAAGUCAGAUGUGAAAUCCCCGGGCUUAACCUGGGAACUGCAUUUGUGACUGCAUCGCUGGAGUGCGGCAGAGGGGGAUGGAAUUCCGCGUGUAGCAGUGAAAUGCGUAGAUAUGCGGAGGAACACCGAUGGCGAAGGCAAUCCCCUGGGCCUGCACUGACGCUCAUGCACGAAAGCGUGGGGAGCAAACAGG